UCUGGCGUCUUUGGCGUCCGAGUUGUAAUUUGCAGAGGGCGCUUUGGCAUGGCAGCGGUCCAAGUUCCUUGGAACAGGACGUCACAGAGGGUGAGAAUCCCGUACGUGGUCGCUAGCCUUUACCGUGUAAAGCCCCUUCGACGAGUCGAGUUGUUUGGGAAUGCAGCUCUAAAUGGGAGGUAAAUUUCUUCUAAAGCUAAAUACUGGCCAGAGACCGAUAGCGCACAAGUAGAGUGAUCGAAAGAUGAAAAGCACUUUGGAAAGAGAGUUAAAAAGCACGUGAAAUUGUUGAAAGGGAAGCGCUUGCAGCCAGACUUGCCUGUAGUUGCUCAUCCGGGUUUUUACCCGGUGCACUCUUCUAUAGGCAGGCCAGCAUCAGUUUGGGCGGUUGGAUAAAGGUCUCUGUCAUGUACCUCUCUUCGGGGAGAACUUAUAGGGGAGACGACAUGCAACCAGCCUGGACUGAGGUCCGCGCAUCUGCUAGGAUGCGGCGUAAUGGCUGUAAGCGGCCCGUCUUGAAACACGGACCAAGGAGUCUAACAUCUAUGCGAGUGUUUGGGUGUCAAGCCCGAGCGCGUAAUGAAAGUGAACGGAGGUGGGAACCUUUCGGGGUGCACCAUCGACCGAUCCUGAUGUCUUCGGAUGGAUUUGAGUAAGAGCAUAGCUGUUGGGACCCGAAAGAUGGUGAACUAUGCUUGAAUAGGGUGAAGCCAGAGGAAACUCUGGUGGAGGCUCGCAGCGGUUCUGACGUGCAAAUCGAU
rnacentral:rRNA from 1 species